rnacentral:RNase_P_RNA from 1 species
AUACCAGACCGCUCUAUCGCUUCGUACAUUAAUUAUGUGCGGGGAGGAAAGUCCGGACAACAGAGAGCAUCCUGUCCCGAUUUAUUUUCGGGAGAAUGGAAAAGUAAUUUUCCAUACAGAAAGUGCCGCAGAAACUAAACCGCCUGGCGUUUACCCCGUAGGAUAAAAACCAUAUCCAACGGGGUUUACCGCAAAGGCAAGGGUGAAAUCGUGAGGUAAGAUCUCACGCUUCUCCGCCAGCAAUGACGGGAUUGAAGGCAAACCUCAGGAGUUGCAAUGCCGAAUAAUGAAUGACUGCUCGUCAGCCUCACCCCAACCCCUCUCCAAAGGAGAGGGGCGAAGGAAAAGGUAAGUUCAUUGGUAGGCAGCAUAGAUAAAUGAUAGAUAUAUCCUGAAAGUUGUUCAGGAUGAAACAGAAUCCGGCUUAUGCCGAAGGCAUUCCU